AAAAAGUACUGCACUAAAAAUGUAACAGGAGAAUAUGCGAAAAUGUGUUUUAAGCAUAUAUACUUAUCUAACAUGCGUAAUACAGAUUUGACUGGUUUAAAGGAAACAAGAGCGUAAUUGACCUUUGACAUUUUCUCGUGCCACUAUCGAUCCCCUGCUGUAUCUUUCACAAUAUAGACCACGUGUUGGCUUUUUAAAUAAGUAGAACCCCCGG